rnacentral:rRNA from 1 species
UACGGAAGGCAGCAGUGGGGAAUCUUGCGCAAUGGGCGAAAGCCUGACGCAGCCAUGCCGCGUGAAUGAUGAAGGUCUUAGGAUUGUAAAAUUCUUUCACCGGGGACGAUAAUGACGGUACCCGGAGAAGAAGCCCCGGCUAACUUCGUGCCAGCAGCCGCGGUAAUACGAAGGGGCUAGCGUUGCUCGGAAUUACUGGGCGUAAAGGGAGCGUAGGCGGACAUUUAAGUCAGGGGUGAAAUCCCGGGGCUCAACCUCGGAAUUGCCUUUUGAUACUGGGUGUCUUGAGUAUGAGAGAGGUGUGUGGAACUCCGAGUGUAGAGGUGAAAUUCGUAGAUAUUCGGAAAGAACACCAGUGGCGAAGGCGACACACUGGCUCAUUACUGACGCUGAGGCUCGAAAAGCGUGGGGAGCAAACAGGGAUUAGAUACC